rnacentral:lncRNA from 1 species
UGAGAGGACACAGAAGUUAGCUGAGAAUCUGGCUGGGAGCUUACUAGUGAGAAGUCCUCAUGUCAAAGGAGAGACUAUCUGAUAUAGAUCAUAGACAAGAGAAAAUAUGACACCAGAAAGGACUUCUAGGCCAUGAUCAACUGAGAGAGGGAGAGAGAUAGAGAGAGAGAGAGAGAGACAGAGAAGGGAGACACAGCACCAGCAGUAGGUUUUAGCAGCAGAUACCCUUAGACGGCCAAACACAGAGCUUGGACACCUCAUUGGUCUCCUAUCUGAGGAACAACCCAGAUCAGCCAUUCCAUAGCUAAGAUCAAAGAGAAUCCAGAGACUAUCUUGUGGAUCCAAAAUUCCCAUGGCCGCCUUCUUCUCACAAGACAUCCUAAACUCAAAUGGCAGGGAAAAAAAAACACUGCCAUCUAUUCUGACCUCUGAAGUCACCAUGCCCAUUAACUGAGGAUGAAGAAGACAGAAGGAAUACUGAAUGUCUGAAGAGAGAGAAAACGUUAUAAAAUUAUCCUUUCAAAAGAUGGAAGAAUAAAUUCACUUGGCAAAUGUGAUAUGGACUCACCUGAGGUUUGAAGUCAUCCAAAAAGAAACCAAAAAUCAUGGUUUUGAGAUUUUGUCCAAAUUCCUUCAUUAUCUCAGGUACAAAUGAAAAAAAAUUAUUCUAAUGUAGUUGGGUUUAAUGAGAGUUGAGAUUUUUCUAAGAAGUAAGGUAUAGGGGAAAGAAGGUAAGGUAGUUAAAGGUACCUAAGAAAUUAUUAUAAAAAUAAAUCAUGAACUGUAAGUUGAUAAGGAGGGAAAUGGGCAUAUAAGGGGGAUCAGGGGCAUUGAAAGGAUAUUAGGAUCAAUGGUUUGACUUUCUAAUGGUAUUGAAGAAUUAUAAAAGCAGGAAUAUGGAAGGGAUGGACUGAAAAGAAAGGAGAUGAUACAAGUAUUAUUGUAUGUUUUCACAUUUUAUCAUUUCUGAAAAAGGAAAGAUAAUGGCAACUUAAUUUAGUAAAAUAUGGUAAUAAUUGAUAAGGUCUAGAAUAUGAUAAUAAAUAGUGUUGCUGAGGUGGGUGAAAAUCAACAAACUGAAUGAAGAUCAACAUUCAUUAAAACAUUGAAUGUGACAUUAUCAAAUGACAGGAGUAGUGAUAAGAACAUCGGAAUACAGGUGUUUUCUAAAGUGAUUUCUAACUCUCAUAUGCUAUGAUUCUAUUAUUAAAACAAGUACAGGCAAACUUUUUACUUGAUUUACUUUCUAUAUACAAUGAGACUAAAAGAUAUCCAUCAACUGACCAGGGUCUACAGGGUAUAUUAUAAGUUGAAUUGAAAUGUCACGGGGCUGUCCUAAGUUCAAAUCAAGGUCAAAGAGAAAGACAGACCUUUACUUUUGGAUCUGUCACAAUAACAAGUAAGUGCUAUGAACUACCUGCAAAAAAGAUAAGAUGCUACCUGUGUAGAUGACAUGGUGAUGAGUGACAAGUCGUGGAUACUGUUCCAUAGUUUCAUUCUUAAUCUAAAUCACUUAGACAAGAAUCAUUAACUCCUUUGAUCAGAAGUUUUUCCUGCCCAUACAAUUAUAUACAAUACACAAUCACUCUAGGAGGGCAUAGUGUCAUGAAGGAGAAAACGAUAGACUUGUUUUUCCAUACUCUGUAGGUACAUAGUUAAGUAUUAAUUCCAUAAAGGUUUGAUGAUGAUGACCGGUGGUGGUGAUGAUGAUGAUGGU